UGGGGAAUAUUGCACAAUGGGCGAAAGCCUGAUGCAGCAACGCCGCGUGAGUGAUGAAGGUCUUCGGAUUGUAAAGCUCUGUCUUUUGGGACGAUAAUGACGGUACCAAAGGAGGAAGCCACGGCUAACUACGUGCCAGCAGCCGCGGUAAUACGUAGGUGGCGAGCGUUGUCGGAUUACUGGGCGUAAAGGGUGCGUAGGCGGAUGUUUAAGUGAGAUGUGAAAUACCCGGGCUUAACUUGGGUGCUGCAUUUCAAACUGGAUAUCUAGAGUGCAGGAGAGGAGAAUGGAAUUCCUAGUGUAGCGGUGAAAUGCGUAGAGAUUAGGAAGAACACCAGUGGCGAAGGCGAUUCUCUGGACUGUAACUGACGCUGAGGCACGAAAAGCGUGGGUAGCAAAACAG
rnacentral:rRNA from 1 species